rnacentral:rRNA from 1 species
CGUGCUAAUCUGCGAUAAGCGCCGGUAAGGUGAUAUGAACCGUUAUAACCGGCGAUACCCGAAUGGGGAAACCCAGUGUGAUUCGUCACACUAUCAUUAACUGAAUCCAUAGGUUAAUGAGGCGAACCGGGGGAACUGAAACAUCUAAGUACCCCGAGGAAAAGAAAUCAACCGAGAUUCCCCCAGUAGCGGCGAGCGAACGGGGAGGAGCCCAGAGCCUGAAUCAGCAUGUGUGUUAGUGGAAGCGUCUGGAAAGGCGCGCGAUACAGGGUGACAGCCCCGUACACAAAAGCGCAUGUGCUGUGAGCUCGAUGAGUAGGGCGGGACACGUGGUAUCCUGUCUGAAUAUGGGGGGACCAUCCUCCAAGGCUAAAUACUCCUGACUGACCGAUAGUGAACCAGUACCGUGAGGGAAAGGCGAAAAGAACCCCGGCGAGGGGAGUGAAAAAGAACCUGAAACCGUGUACGUACAAGCAGUGGGAGCACCCUUUG